UGUCAUGCUAGAGCACUUUUUCAAUGUGCUCCCCAAUGAGAAGGCGACGACGCAUUCGUAUGUCAAUCCAUAUCAACUUUCGAUGCCAUUGACUGCGCCUACCAUGGUGACCACGGGUAACGGGGAAUCAGGGUUUGAUUCCGUAUAGGGACCCUGACAAACGGCUACCACAUGUAAGGAAGGCA